rnacentral:rRNA from 1 species
GGGAUUGCCUUAGUAACGGCGAGUGAAGCGGCAACAGCUCAAAUUUGAAAUCUGGCUCCUUCGGGGUCCGAAUUGUAAUUUGUAGAGAGUGCUUCGGGCGAGGCCUCGGUCUAAGUCCAUUGGAACAUGGUGUCAUAGAGGGUGAGAAUCCCGUAUGCGACCGUGGCUCGAGCCCAUGUGAAGCCUCUUCGACGAGUCGAGUUGUUUGGGAAUGCAGCUCAAAAUGGGUGGUAAAUUUCAUCUAAAGCUAAAUACUGGCUGGAGACCGAUAGCGCACAAGUAGAGUGAUCGAAAGAUGAAAAGCACUUUGGAAAGAGAGUCAAACAGUACGUGAAAUUGUUGAAAGGGAAGCGCUUGCAACCAGACCUGCCCGUAGGCGAUCAGCCGCUGUUUUCAGCGGUGCACUCGCUCUGCGAUCAGGCCAGCAUCGGUUUCGGCGGUCGGAUAAAGGCCUUGGGAAUGUAGCUCCCCUCCGGGGRAGUCUUAUAGCCCUUGGUGCAAUGCGGCCAGCCGGGACCGAGGACCGCGCUUCGGCUAGGAUGCUGGCGUAAUGGUUGUAAGCGACCCGUCUUGAAACACGGACCAAGGAGUCUAACAUCUAUGCGAGUGUUUGGGUGUCAAACCCAUGCGCGGAAUGAAAGUGAACGGAGGUGAGAACCCUUUAAGGGCGCAUCAUCGACCGAUCCAGAUGUCUUCGGAUGGAUUUGAGUAUGAGCAUAGCUGUUGGGACCCGAAAGAUGGUGAACUAUGCCUGAAUAGGGUGAAGCCAGAGGAAACUCUGGUGGAGGCUCGCAGCGGUUCUGACGUGCAAAUCGAUCGUCAAAUUUGGGUAUAGGGGCGAAAGACUAAUCG